UCAAGAGUCACUAUGAUCAGAGUUCUAGUCAUUUUUCAGUCACUCUACUGGAUUCAAGGAAUCUCAGGGGCGAAUGAUGUCUCUCAGCCCAGCGCACUCUGGGUUACAAUGGGUCAAUCAGCCACGAUAAACUGCACACAGACUAAGGGCUCAGGUUACAAUCGGAUGUACUGGUUCCGUCAGCAUCAUGGACAGAGCAUGGAGCUUAUUGUGUACUCUCCCACAUACGGCACUCCAGAUUUCGGAAACCACAGCCAAAGUAAAUUCUCAGUCAUUAAAACCGUCACUGAGAGCGGCUCAUUUACAGUGAAAGAUGUGGAUCAUAAUGACAGAGGUGUGUAUUUCUGUGCCGUGAGUGAACACAGUGUUAUAACCAAAAGGCAGAGCUGUACAAAAACACACUGUGGGACUCAGCCAAGAGGACAAGUAAAUGAACAAAGGGGGCAGUAUGACACAAGAAAACUUCAUAGCUCUGUGUUAUUAAACGCCUACAAAAUUGACAAAUCAACAUAUCGCUAG